rnacentral:rRNA from 1 species
GAUGAACGCUGGCGGCGUGGCUAAUACAUGCAAGUCGAGCGAACGGACGAGAAGCUUGCUUCUCUGAUGUUAGCGGCGGACGGGUGAGUAACACGUGGAUAACCUACCUAUAAGACUGGGAUAACUUCGGGAAACCGGAGCUAAUACCGGAUAAUAUUUUGAACCGCAUGGUUCAAAAGUGAAAGACGGUCUUGCUGUCACUUAUAGAUGGAUCCGCGCUGCAUUAGCUAGUUGGUAAGGUAACGGCUUACCAAGGCAACGAUGCAUAGCCGACCUGAGAGGGUGAUCGGCCACACUGGAACUGAGACACGGUCCAGACUCCUACGGGAGGCAGCAGUAGGGAAUCUUCCGCAAUGGGCGAAAGCCUGACGGAGCAACGCCGCGUGAGUGAUGAAGGUCUUCGGAUCGUAAAACUCUGUUAUUAGGGAAGAACAUAUGUGUAAGUAACUGUGCACAUCUUGACGGUACCUAAUCAGAAAGCCACGGCUAACUACGUGCCAGCAGCCGCGGUAAUACGUAGGUGGCAAGCGUUAUCCGGAAUUAUUGGGCGUAAAGCGCGCGUAGGCGGUUUUUUAAGUCUGAUGUGAAAGCCCACGGCUCAACCGUGGAGGGUCAUUGGAAACUGGAAAACUUGAGUGCAGAAGAGGAAAGUGGAAUUCCAUGUGUAGCGGUGAAAUGCGCAGAGAUAUGGAGGAACACCAGUGGCGAAGGCGACUUUCUGGUCUGUAACUGACGCUGAUGUGCGAAAGCGUGGGGAUCAAACAGGAUUAGAUACCCUGGUAGUCCACGCCGUAAACGAUGAGUGCUAAGUGUUAGGGGGUUUCCGCCCCUUAGUGCUGCAGCUAACGCAUUAAGCACUCCGCCUGGGGAGUACGACCGCAAGGUUGAAACUCAAAGGAAUUGACGGGGACCCGCACAAGCGGUGGAGCAUGUGGUUUAAUUCGAAGCAACGCGAAGAACCUUACCAAAUCUUGACAUCCUUUGACAACUCUAGAGAUAGAGCUUUCCCCUUCGGGGGACAAAGUGACAGGUGGUGCAUGGUUGUCGUCAGCUCGUGUCGUGAGAUGUUGGGUUAAGUCCCGCAACGAGCGCAACCCUUAAGCUUAGUUGCCAUCAUUAAGUUUGGCACUCUAAGUUGACUGCCGGUGACAAACCGGAGGAAGGUGGGGAUGACGUCAAAUCAUCAUGCCCCUUAUGAUUUGGGCUACACACGUGCUACAAUGGACAAUACAAAGGGCAGCGAAACCGUGAGGUCAAGCAAAUCCCAUAAAGUUGUUCUCAGUUCGGAUUGUAGUCUGCAACUCGACUACAUGAAGCUGGAAUCGCUAGUAAUCGUAGAUCAGCAUGCUACGGUGAAUACGUUCCCGGGUCU